AUGAAAUAGAGGACAUUCAACAAG
rnacentral:piRNA from 1 species